GAUGAAGAACUUAGCGAAAUGCGAUAAGUAAUGUGAAUUGCAGAAUUCAGUGAAUCAUCGAAUCUUUGAACGCACAUUGCGCCCUCUGGUAUUCCGGGGGGCAUGCCUGUUCGAGCGUCAUUAUAACCACUCAAGCUCUCGCUUGGUAUUGGGGUUCGCGGUUCCGCGGCCCCUAAAAUCAGUGGCGGUGCCUGUCGGCUCUACGCGUAGUAAUACUCCUCGCGAUUGAGUCCGGUAGGUCUACUUGCCAGCAACCCCCAAUUUUUACAGGUUGACCUCGGAUCAGGUAGGGAUACCAGCUGAACUUAAGCAUAUCAAUAAGCGGAGGA
rnacentral:misc_RNA from 1 species